rnacentral:lncRNA from 1 species
AAUCUCAUAGGGUAGAAUUAGACACACAUGAUGGUACAAACAGGGAGAGCAAGAAAAGAAAAUUCUGGAUGUUUCUCUUUGACAACUGCUUCCUUUAGGGUUUUUAACACCUCUUAUUCUCCCAAUUGGAUUACAAUUUAGUCAAUAGUGUUUUUCUUUCAAUCUUGCACGUCUAAGGUUGUGCCUCAAGCCUCAUAUUUAACCUAAUUAGCUUGGGUUAAGUGACUUCUCACUUGGCGUUAUUGGGCUCUCGUAGGCGCAAAGCACGAAAAAAUGCCCAAUGUUACUGGAGCAAUCUCGCUUGGGCGAGAUUGAGCUCGCUUUAGCGAGAUUCUCUAGUGGCGUCUGGCUUAGGUGAGUUUCUGUGAGCUUUGAUGAGUGUUUGUGAGUUCCAACUUCCCUUUUUAGCUUUGUAUAUUCUCCUUUUGCCCAAUCAUCUCC